CGCUGUCCUCCUCCCGCGCGCCUCUCCCUCCACCUGGGGGCGUCUUCUUCAUUCCCGCCGCGCCUCUUCUCUCUCUCUCUCUCUCUCCUCCCCCCCCCCCCCAACUCGGGAUGGUUCCUUCCUUCGUCAUGUGCAGGGAAUCACAUUAGGAUUUGCCUGUGCCUCUCCCAGGAGGCAGAAUUGUAGUAUCAAUUCAGUAUUAUGGCAUUUCCCGCCUCGUCAGCCUGACUCUUCUUGGGUUACUGUGCGUUUUCCGGGCUGUGUGGACAUGUUCCAGUAGCAUUUUCUCCUGACGUUUCGCCUACAUCUAUGGUAGGCAUCCUCAGAGGAUAUGUGUUUCCUGUGGAGAAGAGGCACCUAAGAUUUCAACCCAAAUGGUUCAGCCGAUAUCCCUGGUUAGUCUAUUCAUUUCAUGUUCAAGGUACACUCUGUUAAGUACGGUGUGCUGUUUGGAGGAGAGGUUGGAGUAAAGGUGAUCCAUCAGAAGCUUGGUGCAUUGGUUGCUAAACCAUUUGUGUGAUGGAAAUAUGCAAUAGAAGUCUUCAAUAGACACCAAAAAACAGUCCCAUCAGAACAAAUUGUGUUUGGCUGAAAAAUUCUUGCUAAUUCAAAGUGGAAAACGUCUUGAUGUAACCCAUCAUCAUGAUAAAGGAAAUAAGAAGAAAGCAGAAAUAAACGGAGAGAAACUUCUGCCAAUUGUGGAAAUUAUUAACCUUUGUGGCCGACAAGACCUGGCUUAAAGAGGGAGCAAUGAUUCAGGACCUAUUACCUGUGAAGAACCAUUGCAUAAUGAUGGUAAUUUCAGGGCCUUGUUGAGAUCUUGUGCCAGAUCAAGGGGCACUGGCCUGAAAAGUCAUGGCGGAGGGGGGGGGGGUUUCAACCCCUCCCAAAAUAAUUUCUAGCUAUGGGCCUGCUUAGGAGGCAGGUUUCCUUCAGAAUUUUAGUAUCAAUUCAGUAUUAUGGCAUUCCCUGCCCCCUCACUUCUUUCUUCUCAGAACAACUCUCUGUUCAGAGAAGGAAGAGGAAGAGAGCCAUAGCCAACAUAGAGAACAGAGUGAAAUGCCAAUCUAUAAAGGGUAAUGAAAUUUCAGCCUAGGACAAAACAACAAAACUAGACACCACACAAUCUCGAAAAUUGACAGCACAACCUCUCAUCCAUGCCUCUACGUUCAUACAACAAAAAGGAAAGGAAAAAUAAAGUCCUAAUUAGAUGGAGAGGAAUAAUUGUUUUUAUCCAAUUGCUGCCAGUUAGAAGGCUAAGCUCUGCAAACUUGGUCUCCUAGCAACCCAUUCAGCCCAGGGGACAGGCAGAGUUAGGCCUCACUUAGGCCUCUUCCCCACUGCUUAUAAAAUACAGAUUAUCUGAUUUGAACUGGAUUAUAUGGCAGCGUAGACUCAAGGCCCUUCCAGACAGCUAUAUUACCCAUUUAUAAUCUUAUAUUAUCUGCUUUGAACUGGAUUAUCUUGAGUCCACACUGCCAUAUAGUCCACUUCAGUGUGCAUUUUAUCCAGCUGUGUAGAAGGGGCCUCAUAUAAUCCAGUUCUAAGCAGAUAAUAUAAGAUUAUAAAUAUACAGUAGAGUCUCACUUAUCCAACAUAAACAGGCCGGCAGAACACUGGAUAAGUGAAUAUGUUGGAUAAUAAGAAGGGAUUCAGGAAAAGCUGAUUAAACAUCAAAUUAGGUUAUGAUUUUACAAAUUAAGCACCAAAACAUCAUGUUAUACAAAAAAUUUGACAGAAAAAGUAGUUCCAUGCGCAGUAAUGCUAUGUAGUAAUUACUGUAUUUACAAAUUUACCACCAAAAUAUCACAAUGAAUUUAAAACACUGACUACAAAAACAUUGACUACUAAAAGGCAGACUGCGUUGGAUAAUCCAGAACAUUGGAUAAGCGAAUAUUGGAUAAGUGAGGUUCUACUAUAAUAUGAAAUAAUUACUGUGGUAUAAUAAUACAGAAUGAUAUAAUCUCUAAAACCAAGACAGUAAAUAAAGAGCAACACUCUGAAAGCAGGGAAAUUGGGAAUUCCAGAAAGGAAACAAUCAGGGCCAGCUAACACCUUCCAAGAAAGGAUUCUUCCAGAAAGGAAGCUGAAAGGGGAGUGAAGCAGUUUGUAUUACCAAAGUCAUUAUUAUUACUAUCAUUACUAUUAUUAUUAUUAUUAUUAUUAUUAUUAUUAUUAUUAUUAUUAUUGUGUUGCUGUGAACCACGAAAAUGAAUACAGUCUGGCUCCAACUAUUCAAAAACACUAAAAUCAGAAUAUAUAAAAAUUACUGUGGUAUAAUAAACCAGAACAAUACAAUCUCUAAAAUCACAACACUAAAUAAAGAACAACACUCUGAAAACGGCAAUUCCACACAGGAAACAAUCAGGGCCAGCUAACACCUCCCAACAAAGUAUUCUCAUCACCAAAGUCUGGCAAAUCCUCUGUUUUCUGAGGGCCACACACAGUAGAAGCACAUAAAAUAUUGCAAACAACACCACUCUGAAAACAAGGGAAUUCCAGACAGGAAACAAUCAGCUAACACCUCCCAACAAAAAAUUCACGCAGGGAGGAAGCAGCCAGGCUUUAAAGCUUCAAGGCCAUUACAUUCUAAUUAUUUUGCCUAAUUGCAGCAUUCAUACUUGCCUUCAACAGACAAAAAAAACCAAUCAGAAAUAUUGUAUAUUCACAAGCUUUAGGAAAUAAUAUCCCCUGAUGGCGCAGCGUGUUAAAGUGCUGAGCUGCUGAACUUCUGGACCGAAAGGUCGCAGGUUUGAAUUGGGGGAGCGGAGAGAGCCCCCACUGUUAGCCCCAGCUUCUACCAACCCUAAAGUUCAAAAACAUGCAAAUGAGAGUAGAUGAAUAGGUACUGCUCAGGCGGGAAGCUAACGGCGCUCCAUGCAGUCAUGCCACAUGACCUUGGAGGAGUCUACGGACAACGCCAGCUCUUCAGCUUAGAAAUGGAGAUGAGCACCAACCCCCAGAGUCAGAUACGACUGGAUUUAAUGUCAGGGGAAAACCUUUAUCCUUUAUCUUAACUACCACCAAUGCCUCAAUACUUUAUUUCCCAUACCACCAUACUUUGCCACAGCAACGCGUGGCCGGGCACAGCUAGUAACAUAUAUACAAACAUCCCCACAUGUUCAAAGUGAAUAAAAACAGGCCCAUGUAUUUAAGAUGAAUAUGGCUCUGAGGAGAAAUGGAGAAGGAAGAGAACCAGGAACACUGUCUUUGGCCCACCAGGAGGUCACUAAAGCCUCUUCCAAACAGGCCCUACAUCCCAGGAUCUGAUUCCAGGUUUUGUGCUUUAAACUAUAUGAGCCUGCAUUGCCAGAUAAUCUGAGAUAAACAGAAAACCUGGGGUCAGAUCCUGAGAUAUAAGGCCUGUCUGGAAGGGGCCUUAAGCCACUUCCACACAGUUAUAUAAAAUCCAACAUGAUCUGCUUUGAACUGGACUAUAUGACAGUGUGGACUCGGAAAAGCAGAUACUGUGGAUUUUCUGCCUUGAUAUUCUGGAUUAGAUGCCUGUGUGGAAGGGCCCUGAGAGAAAAGGAGAAAGAAGAGAUACCUAGAUGCUGCCUUUGGACAACUCCAGGAUAGAGUAGGAUGCCACUUAAAAAUAGGAAUAAAAACAGACCCAUAUAUUAAAAAUGAAUAAAAAUAGACCCGUAUAUUAAAAUUAAUUUUAAAAACAAUGUUAUGAGGAGGAAAGGGAAAGAAAGGGAGUAAUGGAUGCUGUCUUUAGCCAACUCUGGGGCAAUGGAAUGUCACUAACAAGGAAUAAAAACAGACCCAUGUAUUUAAAAUGAAUAAAAAUAGAUCCAUAUAUUAAAAUUAUUAAAAUAGAAUUGUUCUGAGGAGAAAGGGAGAAGAAAAAGAGCUAAGGAGAGUCUUUGGCCAACUCAGUGACAGUGAAACACUUCUAAAAAUGAAUAAAAAUAAAUCCAUGUAUUGAAAAUGGAUAAAAACAGAUCUAUUUAUAAUUUUUAAAGAUCCAAAUAUUACAAAUGAAUUAAGCAGAUACAUAGAUCAAAAUGAAUAAAAGCAGAUUAGAUUAAAAUAGAUUAAAAAGAAUAAAGACUGACCCAGAUGUUAAAAAUGAAUAAAAACAGAACCAUAUAUUAAACAUGAAUAACAGCCAUCAGACCUAUAUAUACUAAAUAAAGUGUAUUAUUAUUAUUAUUAUUAUUUAUUGCAAAUGAGAUUAAAAUGAAAUGCUAAAGAGUCCUAGAGCAAAUAGAGCCCCAGUGGCACAGCAUGUUAAAGUGCUGAACUGCUGAACUUGCAGACCAAAAGGUUGCAGGUUUGAAUCCGGGGAGCGGAGUGAGUGCCCGCUGUUAACCCCAGCUUCUGCCAACCUAGCAGUUCGAAAACAUGCAAAUGUGAGUAGAUCAAUAGGUACCGCUCCGGCGGGAAGGUAACGGCCCUCCAUGCAGUCAUGCCGUCCACAUGACCUUGGAGGUGUCUAUGGACAACGCCAGCUUUUCAGCUUAGAAAUGGAGAUGAGCACCAACCCCCAGAGUCGGACACGACUGGACGUAAUGUCAGGGGGAAACCUUUACCUUUAUCUUUAUAGGUUUAGAAAUUAUAGUUAAAAAAUCAACUCCAAAAAUCCCUGGCCAACUUAUCCAUGGUCAGUGUGAGUACUAUCUUAUGAGAAAAGGAACUAUCCCCUUUUCCCAGAGUCGGAUAUGACUGGACUUAAUGUCAGGGGAAAGCCUUUAACCUAGAGCAAAUCUAACCUGAACUCUCCCUAGAAGUCAAGAUUAUUAAACUGAGACUGUCACACUUUGGAUACAUCAUGACAAAACAAAAAUAAUUACAAAAGACAGUUUUGCUUGAUGAGGUUGAAGGCACUUGGAAAAGAGGAAGAUCAUAUUAUUGUUAGAUAGACUCAGUCAAGGAAGCCACGUCUCAAGUGAGGUUGAAAGAGGGGGACUUGGAGGUGUCUCAUCCAUGGGGUCACCAUAAGUCAAAGUCAACGUGAUGGCAGUUGAUAACUAAAAUUUACUCAGAAGUCAGUCCCAUUGAGUAAGCACCUUCCAUCAUCAUUUAGGGUUGAGGCCCCUUUCUAUGGGCUGCCACAGCAUGGAAUGAUAUGAGCUAAGACUCAGGACAAAUUCCUGAUCUAUUAAUGGGUAGUGAAUCCAUUUCCACAAACCAUUCCAUAAAGAUUUUCAGAGAGUAGGAAUUUAUACAUCAAACAAUUAUGGGAAAAUAAAUCAUAGCUUUGGAGCCAGACUUUUAAAAUGUAUAAAAUGUUGGCAUAUUUAAAACCAUUUGUCAGUGUCUGAUAUAAAGCCAGCAGUUGUGUGAAAUCAAAUAAAAGCUAGUUUGUAUCUUGCAUGUGUGUACAUGAGUAUACAUAACAUUUAUUCUCAAGAUUAACUCCCACAAGACAGAAAGAUAAGUGCCUGCCAGAUCAGAGCUAAUGGGAUAUUGCUGGCAUUCUAUACAUUCUUUGUACUAAAAAAUAUCCCACAAAUGUCCUCUGGGACCUCUCUAGAAAAGAUGCACACAAUAACAGCUAGCUAAAUUUUUAGCAAUAUAAAGAAAGUAUAGACCAGAAGUGUAUAGCAUGUUUGCUUAGAAAUAAUGCAUUGCAAAUAACAUUAUCUAGUUUAGCAGAAUAUUCUUUUUUGAGAUGCCAAGGGUAUGUAGCAGAAUAAGGAGAGAAAUGUCUGCCAAUACUAAUGUUUUGAACUAGCCUAUUAGUAUUACUCUCUGUGCCAAAAUAUUGCUCACUAUCCCAAAAAGUAACUACUGCACCUGCCAUUAAGUUAUUUUUUGUAAAAGAAAAGUUCUUAUUCUGUUAUAACUCUAAAAGGUCAUACUAUUUUUAACAUGUUGUUUAACAUGUCCAUUUUAUUACAGAAUCAGAGUUUGAAAUAUGGCCAAACAUUUUGUCUCCACAAAUAUCUAAGACUCUGGCUACAUGAUUUCUUUUCACAUACAAAUUGAAAGGACUUUGUGGUUUCUAGAGCCUGGCUGGGCAUUACAGUCCUGAAACAGAAAGUAAAUAUAUUUAAAAAUAACAUGCUUUUCACAUAAAUGCUCCCUCCUGGGCACACAGAAGUCCGGGCGACUUGGAAAUCACUGAACAGACUGUGCUCUGGCACCAUGAGAUGCAGAGCCAACCUUGAAAAAUGGGGCUACAAAGUGGAGUCCAUGACAUGCAAGUGUGGAGAAGAGUAAACCACAGACCACCUACUGCAAUGUAGUCUGAGCCCUACCACAUGCACAAUGGAGGACCUUCUUAUAGCAACAUCAGAGGCACUUCAAAUGGCCAGCUACUGGUCAAAGGACAUUUAGUAUAAUUCCAAGUUUUUAAAAACUUUGUGUUUUCAAAUACAUUACAACUUGUACCCUCAGUUCGCUUCUGACACGAUAAAUAAAUACAUAAAUACUGAACUAUUUUCCAGGAUCAGGCAGAAAAACCCUGAAGUGAAUGGUAGAGUUGCCAGUCACCGUUCUUCAUUUAGUUUUGUUAAAGUUCUCAAUGGUAGUGAUAAUUCUUACUGCCAGAUCCUAAGGAAGAAUUAUGCUAGCUCCAAAUAUUAUUAGACAACCAGUCCGGAGAUCCACACAUUUCCACCCUUUGAAAUUGGGAGGUAGGUAACCCGGGGUGCAUCAACACUGUAGAAAUGCAGUUUGACAUCACUUGGAGCAAUGCUAUGAAAUCUUGGGAGUUGACGCUUGAUGAGCCACCAGCACUCUUUUGGCAGAGAAGGUGGAAGAUUUUGUAAAACUAUGACUCCCAUGAUUCCAUAGCAUUGACCCAUCGCAGUUAAAGUGCUGUCAAACUGUUAAUUCUACGUCAGUAGUUCUCAACCUGUCAGUCCCAAGAUGUUUUGGCCUUCAAAUCCCAGAAAUCCUAACAGCUGGUAAACAAGCUGGGAUUUCGGGAGUUGUAGGCCAAAACAUCUGGGGACCCCAGGUUGAGAACCACUGUUCUACAUAGAUGCAUCCCAUGUUGUUAAGGGAGAAAGAUAGAAAGCAUAAGCAAUACAGCCAGCAGUCUCUUAUUCCAGUAUGUUAGGAAAACAAUCAAGAUUCACAGUAAUCAAGAGCUUUGAUGGCAUAUGGUUUCUGUUUCUAUUUUCUGCACACCCUAGAGGCCACACACUCAAUUCUAUACAGAAGCAGUAUGUGUAGUUAGGGGUAUUUUUUUAAAAAUACAGCAACAUCUGCAAGUACAUGCUUUCAACCACUUGGUAGUGGUUUCCCACAGCCAGUGGUAUUUAUUCCAACACAGUAGUAAUUUACUGGUUCAAUGCAUGUGAGCGGUAAUGAGGCAGAGAAUUACACAUCCCAUACUGAAUGCAGGUUAGAAAUACACAGUUCUCUCUCUCUCUUUUUAAACUGAUUCAGCUCUUAUUAGCAUUUAUUACCAACUCAGAGUUGAUAGCUGCAUCCAUGAUACAAACUGGUAGCAAUUCUCCUUUAAUCGAGGGUGACACUUACAAAAGAAACAGGCUAGGGAGUAGGAAGAAAAUAUGAAACGAUUUCACAUUGCAGAUCCACAAAGGCAAGUAAAACAUUAUUUUAGAUUUGGCUGCCCAAACCUUUGCUAUGGAGAAAUUCUGAUCAUGGUAAAUUGUAGUUUGGUUUAACCAUAGGUUGUAAUUUUCCAAAUUUGUUCUGCAUGUUAUGACAUUGGCACAGAGUCAUGUGUUUUCCCCUUCUGCUCUCAUGCAAACAUAAUUUUCUUUCCUUCUCACUUUUUAAGAUUAUGUGUUUACUAAAGUCUUCUGACAUGAUAUGUAUUGAGAUUGCAUUGUACAGAAAUUAAUGUAAGCAACUAGUGAGAGCUGCAACAAAACAUUACAGUGGGGAAUGCCUUGUUCACUAUUCCAGUCAGUGUCUACUAAUACUUGUUUUUUCCCAAACCCAUUUUUCAUUCCCUCUCCACUAGCAAUUUGUCUACAUACAGAGGCCAUGAAACAUUUCUCAUUUGGUGGUUUGGUUUUGGGUUUUCUUAAUAUAGUUACAUUUGUGAAGCUUGGGAUUCCCAUGGACCAUCAUCUUCCUGUCAUGUAUGCAUGGUGCCAUUUUGACUAUGACUACCUGAACUCCAGAUGAUGGAAAGCAAAUUCUGGAUGUUCACCUUUAUUCUACUUGAGUCCAAAGGACCCUGAAACAAACAGACGCCAAAUUAUGCUGAAAUAGAAAUAGAAAGCAAGGAAAGAAGGGAACAGAUGGACUUCCAGAUAAAAUAAGUGGUGUAGUUUAGACUAUUAGGAUUUGGAAGAAUCAGAGGAAAGUCCCUGAUGGAGGAUCAUGAGUCUUUCUCAGUUUGAUUCCCCUCAUCGGAUUUUUCUGGAGGAUAAAGGAGGAAAAAAGGAAGGAAGUCAUUCGCAUCACUCGGAGUUUCCUGGAGGAAAAGCAAGAGCUAAAUAUAAAUAAAUGAAGCCCAAGCCUGGCUGUAGGGCAUGCUCAAAUAAGUCUACCUGCAUCUCCUCCAAAUUUUGUAAAUAAAAUCAGCUACUGGUUGGUGGAAUUUCCAAGCUUCACUAUGCACUCAAUUUCUAGCAAGGAAUACUUCAUGCAUAUACAUUUGUAUCAUGCACAGUAUUCCCCAUGCUAAUAUAAGAACCACAUGAUUACAGAAGAUGGCUGCUGCAUUUAAAAACCCAGCUGCAAGAAUUUCCAUAAGAUGCAAAGAUAUUCUGUCUGCAUUCUGAAUAGAAAUCAAGGGGGCUAUAUUUUGUGCCAGAAUGCAUUGGCUAAUCAUAUUCCCGUGACAUUGUGAGCAUCACUUGUGUAGUUUCUGUAGAGGCACACACACACUAUCCCUAAAUAAAAAGUUAAUAUAAUAGAAUUCUUAGUUUAGCUGAGCUCAGAUUCUCUUAAACUUUCAUUCCAUACGUUUGAACUGGUUUGGUGAUUUUUGUUUUUGUUUUUUGCAGAGUGGAGUAGAUUAUGGAAAAUGAAUGCCUAAGUAGAUAAGUAAAUAAAGUAGUAUAAGUAGAUAAAAGUAGUAGUAGUAGAGAGAUAUGUAGUAAAGUUGUAAUGGAAAAGUCUAAAACUGAUCAGAAAUAUGCAUAAAGAUGAUUUGAUUCUGAUUUUUCUUUAUAGUUGGAUUGCAUACAAUGUGAUAUGUCUGGGAUACUGUAAAAUGAGAAAAGAAUGUAUACAUUUUGAAUUAUAAAUUAAUAAUAAUAAUAAUAUUGAAAAUAAAACAUGUAUAGGUAGAUGAAGGGUGUGUAGUGGAGAGAUGUAUAGUGAAGUUGUAAUGGAAAAGUUAAAAGACUGAUGGAAAAUAUGCUUGGGGAUGUUCUUGAUUUUUUUUUUUUUUGCUCUCAGAUUGUAUGCAACGUGAUGUGUUUGAGAUAUUGUAGAAUGAGGAAAAUGUGAGCUUGUACAUUUGGAUUGAUAAAUUAAUAAAAACAAAUUUUUAAAAAAGGAAAA